rnacentral:rRNA from 1 species
UACAGAGGGGGCAAGCGUUAUUCGGAAUUAUUGGGCGUAAAGGGCGCGUAGGCGGCCACCGCAAGUCAGUUGUGAAAUCUCUGGGCUUAACCCAGAAAGGUCAACUGAUACUGCGGGGCUAGAGUGCAGAAGGGGCAACUGGAAUUCUCGGUGUAGCGGUGAAAUGCGUAGAUAUCGAGAGGAACACCUGCGGCGAAGGCGGGUUGCUGGGCUGACACUGACGCUGAGGCGCGAAAGCUAGGGGAGCGAACGGG